rnacentral:RNase_P_RNA from 1 species
GAGAGUAGGCGUAGGCGGUUGCAGAUCAGUCACAAAAACUGGUUUGAGGAAAGUCCGGGCUCCCGAAAGACCAAACUUGCUGGAUAACGUCCAGUGCGAGCGAUCGUGAGGAUAGUGCCACAGAAAGAUACCGCCAAAGUCAGUACUGAGUAAUGAGUGCUGAGUGCUGAGAAAAAAAAACUCAGAACUCAGAACUCAGCACUCAGAACUGUUUUGGUAAGGGUGCAAAGGUGCGGUAAGAGCGCACCAGCAACGUCGAGAGGCGUUGGCUCGGUAAACCCCGGUUGGGAGCAAGGCGAAAGGAACUAUGGUUGGUCUUUUACCAGUUCCGCCAAAACAGAGCCGCUAGAGGCGUUUGGUAACAAACGUCCCAGAUAGAUAACCGCCCUCAUGUAGAGAAGUUACUUGUAACAUUUCUACAUUCGAGAACAGAACCCGGCUUACUACCAACUCUUUCCU